rfam:Felis catus isolate Cinnamon breed Abyssinian chromosome E3, whole genome shotgun sequence.
GCCUGGGUGGCUCAGUCGGUUAAGCAUCUGACUUUGACUCAGGUCGUGAUCUCAUGGUUCAUGGGUUUGAGCCCCGUGUUGGGCC